rnacentral:rRNA from 1 species
UACGAAGGGGGCUAGCGUUGCUCGGAAUCACUGGGCGUAAAGCGCACGUAGGCGGAUUCCUAAGUCAGGGGUGAAAUCCUGGAGCUCAACUCCAGAACUGCCUUUGAUACUGAGGAGCUUGAGUCCGGGAGAGGUGAGUGGAACUCCGAGUGUAGAGGUGAAAUUCGUAGAUAUUCGGAAGAACACCGGUGGCGAAGGCGCUCUACUGGGCCAUAACUGACACUGAUGGACGAAAGCUAGGGGAGCGAAAGGG